AUUGUGGAAAUGUAUUACCAACAGAGGUGCAGGUGCCAGCCUAUUGAAAUAAAGVGUCAAUGAGGGUGAGAAUCCUGUUUGYCAUGUGCAGCCCUUUGUGCACGGUGUAUAUUUGCUGAGUCACACUCCUUGGCAUUGGAAUGCAAAGUGGGUGGUAAGUUUCAUGUAAAGGUAAACAUGCAAUUGAGACUGAUAGCACACAAGUMCCAUGAGGGAAAUAUGAAAARGRCUUUKAAAARAGAAUUAAAUGAGUUUGUAUUUGCUGAACACAAAGUAAACAGACUUGAUUUGCUUGGUGGGAGUGUUGCACUUGCUUGACAAGAGCUUUGGGCUGUGGGUGUAAUGAUUCUUUCUUUGCAUGCCAGUUUCUAUUUGUACAUCUGAUUACCUUUGCACAUGAAUGAUAAGUCUCCUGUGGGGGGUGGAUUGCAUGUGCAUGUAAUGAUUUGUGUUUUGAUAAAUGUGUCUGGUGUAUGUGUGUGUUCCUGUGCUUGGGGAUGCUUCCUUCCUUGGACUUACAAGCCCUGACACACACAUGCUGGCAAAAUGCUUCUGCUUGACCCGUCUUGAAACACGGACCAAGGAGUCUAACAGAUGUGCAAAGUUUGAAGGUGGUAUACCUUUGUGUGCAAUGAAAGUGUCAGCUGGGAUAUGUGCACCAGCACCCAAUUAAUUAGCGGACAGAGGUUUGAGUUGGAGCAUAUCUAUUAGGACCCGAAAGAUGGUGAACUAUGCCUGAACAGAAUGAAUUCAGAGGAAACUCUGAUGGAGGUUCGUAUCGAUACUGACGUGCAAAUCGUUCGUCAUAUUUGGGUAUAGGGGCGAAAGACUAAUCGAACCAU
rnacentral:rRNA from 1 species